GCGAAUGUAGCUCAGCUGGUUAGAGCACCUGACUGUGACUCAGGGGGUCGAGGGUUCAAGUCCCUUCAUUCGCC
rnacentral:tRNA from 1 species